rnacentral:lncRNA from 1 species
AGAUGUGGUAGUUCAUACCUUUCAUCUCAGCCCUUGGCAGAGGCAGAGAGGCAGAGAGGCAGAGAGGCAGAGAGGCAGAGGCAGAGAGGCAGAGAGGCAGAGGCAGAGAGGCAGAGGCAGAGGCAGAGAGGCAGAGAGGCAGAGGCAGAGAGGCAGAGAGGCAGAGGCAGAGAGGCAGAGGCAGAGGCAGAGAGGCAGAGGCAGAGGCAGAGGCAGAGGCAGAGGCAGAGGCAGAGGCAGAGGCAGAGGCAGAGAGGCAGAGGCAGAGGCUCUGAGUUUUAAGCCAGCCAAUCUACAAAACAAGUUCCAAGUUCCAGAAUAGGCAGGGCUACACAGAGGAACCUUGUCUUGAAAAAUUGAGGGGGUGGGGGAGACACAACCAAGAAAGAAGAAGGCAGGCAUGGUGGCAAGAUAGCUAUAAUUCCAGCACUUGGGACGAGGAGGCAGGAAGCUUAGGAAUUCAUGGUUAUCCACAGCUGUGCAGCCUGGGUUACUUAAGAGCCAGGCUCAAACAAUCACACAAACUGCAUAGUCAGAGUGGAGGGAGCUUUUAGAAAUUAAAAAAAAAAAAAAUCGCCAAAUAUUGUCUGAAACAUGGGUAGCAGGGAUGCCUGAUUUAUCCUUGGUAGAGCCACAGCAGGUGUGCCCAUCUGUGUCCACAUAAAUUCAUACGCACGAGGAAGCCUAGGUCACGUGUCUUUCUCAGUAACUUUCUACUUUAUUUCUCUCACUGAACCUGGAGGUCACCAGUGCAGCUAUGCUGAGCCCCAGGGAUCCUCUUGUCUGCCUCCCCAGCAUCCGGCUUAUUCAGAUUCCUUUACUUGAGCUCUGGGGAUCAGAACUCGGGUCUUUGUGCUUCUAGGACAAGUGCUUUUGGUAACUUGGAGCCCCAGCCUCUUCUAUGGGAAUGUGAGACUCUAUAACUGUGCUCAUUCUGGAGGUCCAAAUAACAGGGUGACCAUGAAUUGCUACGCUACAUAAAAAUUCAGAACAUGUGGCUAAAGGUCUCCAAGGGGGACCAGUGAGAUGGCUCAGUGGGGCACUUGCUGCUCUUGCAGAGUACCCAGAUUCCGUUCCCAUCACCUACAUGGUGGUUGACAAUCAUCCG